rnacentral:SRP_RNA from 1 species
GCCAGGUGUGGUGGCGUGCACCUGUAGUCCCAGCUACUUGGGAGGCUGAGGUAGGUGGAUCACUUGAGCCCAGGAGGCUGAGGCUGCAGUGAGCCGAGAUUGCGCCACUGCACUCCAGCCUGGGCAACAGAGUAAGGCACUGUCUCAA